rnacentral:rRNA from 1 species
GUCGAUUUGUAACAGGGUAGCAAUACCGCUGUUUAGUGGCGCUUUGGUGCGUAUUUCGUAUGCAACUCACCCUCAACAGGGGAAUAGCUCAGAGAAAUCUGAAUUAAUACCGCAUAAUAUAGUGAGUGGGCAUCCAUUGAGAACUAUCAAACCUUCGGGGGUUAAAGAUGAGCAUGCGUAUCAUUAGCUAGUUGGUGAGGUAAUGGCUCACCAAGGCUUUUAUGAUUAGGGGGUCUGAGAGGAUGAUCCCCCACACUGGUACUGAGAUUGAGAUGACCAGACUCCUUUUGGAGGCAGCAGUAAGGAAUAUUGGUCAAUGGUUUAAAGUCUGAACCAGCCAUGCCGCGUGCAGGAUUAAGGCCCUAUGGGUCGUAAACUGCCUCUAUUUUGGACAAAACCCCCCUUUUUGUAGGGGGCUGAUGGUACUGUAAGAAUAAGGAUCGGCUAAUUGAGACGUGCCAGCAGCCGCGGUAAUUUUAAGGAUUCGAGCGUUAUCCGGACUCAUUGGGCUCAAAGGGUGCGUAGGCGGACUGAUAAGUCAGUGGUGAGAGCCUGUUGCUUAACAACAGAACUGCCAUUGAUACUGCCAGUCUUGAGUACAGUUGAGGUAGGCGGAAUGUGUCAUGUAGUGGUGAAAUAUUGAGAAGAUAUGACACAGAACACCGAUUGCGAAGGCAGCUUGCUAAACUGUAACUGUUUCUGAGGCUUUAAAGCAUGGGGAGCAAACAGGAUUAGAUACCCUGGUAGUCCAUGCCCUAAU